rnacentral:rRNA from 1 species
CACGUAGGCACCAAGCGUUGUCCGGAUUUAUUGGGCGUAAAGAGCUCGUAGGCGGUUCAGUAAGUCGGGUGGGAAAACUUUGGGCUUAACCCAAAGCGUGCAUCCGAUACUGCUGUGACUUGAGUACGGUAGGGGAGCGGGGAAUUCCUAGUGUAGCGGUGAAAUGCGCAGAUAUUAGGAGGAACACCGGUGGCGAAGGCGACGUCCUGGACCGGCAUUGACGCUGAGGCGCGAAAGCCAGGGGAGCAAACGGG